AUGAAGAUGAAGGAGGGGGGCGACUGGAGCAGCGAGUGGCGGCGGCCGCACGGCAGCGCCAAGUUGGGUGGCCUAUCCAUGGUCCCUGAAUGGGAUUCGCUUCCACCGGAGCUUGUCCAAGCGGUCGCCGACCGCGUCCUCUCCGCCACCGGCGGCGUCGACGCGUACAUGGACAUGAGGGCCGUCUGCUCAACCUGGCGCUCUGCCGUCGCCAAGUCAUCUCCUUUCGCCGCGGUCGCCGGCCUCCGUUUCCGCCCGCGCCACUGGGUCAUGCUCGACCUGCAACCCGACGACCUCAAUGACGAGGCUCGCCUCUUCCUCCACGUCCCCACCGGCCGCUUCCGCCGCCUGCACCUCCCGGCGCUCCGCGACAACCUCGUCGCCGGUGCUGCCGACGGUCUCCUCGUGCUCGCGGACAUGUAUCCGCCGCACUUGGCUCGUGUCCUCAACCCAUUUACAGGUGACAUGCUCCACUUCCCCGCGGCGUUACCUCGGCAUUUUACCUUUACCUCGGUGAUGAAGGGAGGCUCUCAUCCGACGCUGGUCUUGCUGAGAUGGGGCUCGGUGUUCUGUGCUGCCCCAAACAGCGAUCUCUUUACACAGACAGAGGAGGCCGUUGAAUCCUACUUGGUGAGCAUUGCUAACUUCCAGGGCGACGUCUAUUGUGCCGAUGGCCGUGGAUGUGUAUUCAAGUUGGUCGCACUCGCACCAGCAGCAGACCAGUGUGAUGAUGAUGAUGAUGAUGAUGAUGAUGAUGAUGAUGAUGAUGAUGAUGAUGAUGAUGAUGAUGAUGAUGAUGAUGAUGAUGAUGAUGAUGAUGAUGAUGAUGAUGAUGAUGAUGAUGAUGAUGAUGAUGAUGAUGAUGAUGAUGAUGAUGAUGAUGAUGAUGAUGAUGAUGAUGAUGAUGAUGAUGAUGAUGCCGCGGCGCCGCCGGAUGUGCACGUAUAUACACAAGAGGGAGAUGAUGAUACAAAAGAGGGAGAUGAUCACAGCGAAAUGCCUUCUUAUCUUGUGGAGUCUGCUGGGGAACUGCUGCUCGUUUGCUCCGUUGAUCAAACUUUGAAAGUUUUCAGAGUCAACGUCGAGCACAAGUUGUUGGAGGAGGUCAAGAGCCUCGGCGGCCGCACCUUGUUCCUCGGCCAAGAGAGGUGUGUGUCUGUCGAUGCAGCGAAGCUUCCUUCCGUUGACGGAGAUUGCAUAUACAUGUUAGAUUUUGAAAACGCGCCCAUGUCAGAUUCUGAAAGCGUGUCCAUGUCAGAUUCUGAAGACAUGUCCGUGUCAGAUUCUAGAGACAAGAUAUGCGUGUAUAACCUAAGAGGCGACGUGGUGGACAUUAUCUCCAGCAAGGACUUUUGUGCUCGACCUUUCAGCCUUGUCCAGGUUCUCCUGCGGUACUGUGAUGUCCUUCCCAAAUUGUAA
rnacentral:rRNA from 1 species